rnacentral:rRNA from 1 species
GACGAACGCUGGCGGCGUGCUUAACACAUGCAAGUCGAACGGAAAGGCCCUGCGUUUGUGGUGUGCUCGAGUGGCGAACGGGUGAGUAACACGUGAGUAACCUGCCCUUGACUUUGGGAUAACUUCAGGAAACUGGGGCUAAUACCGGAUAGGAGAUCCUGCUGCAUGGUGGGGGUUGGAAAGUUUCGGCGGUUGGGGAUGGACGCGCGGCUUAUGAGCUUGUUGGUGGGGUAGUGGCUUACCAAGGCUUUGACGGGUAGCCGGCCUGGGAGGGUGACCGGCCACAUUGGGACUGCGAGACGGCCCAGACUCCUACGGGGGGCAGUAGUGGGGAAUAUUGCACAAUGGGCGGAAGCCUGAUGCAGCAACGCCGCGUGCGGGAUGACGGCCUUCGGGUUGUAAACCGCUUUCGCCUGUGACGAAGCGUGAGUGACGGUAAUGGGUAAAGAAGCACCGGCUAACUACGUG